UGGUCUUCGUUUCAUUGAAUCUAUCUGUAUUGCCUUUAACAUAUUUCUAUUGGGAAAUUAUGAAUGAUAAACAUGUAAAAUUGUAUUGCCUGAAAGCAAACAAACUAUUAUUUCUUAUAACUUUGACUAUCAUGCAACUUAUACUGGCUUUUGCAAAAGCUUUCUCGCAUUUUCCCGGGCUAUGUCUAUACGAUUUGUGUUGCUUUUUUAUGAAACAUUAUAUAUUUACCAACAAUCGAACCUACUAUAUGUGCUGGUGCACUUUGGUUUUCCUUUUUUUGUAUGUACAUGAUCACGUCCAGAGCUGUAACACGAGCCCCACCCUGAUUGAGCUUACAGUAGGUGAUGACACACUAGAAGGAUGGCAGGAUUGUGGUUCGAUGUUCGACAGUGUGAAUAGGGUUACUAUGGAGGUACGGAGUACGAUCAACUGUGACGUCAUCCAGAGGAUCCAUCUACCAGGAGCAACAGAACUGACCAUUCAAACACGUGUGGAUGUAUGGCGACCGGCUGGUUUCCACGAGGAGCCCACUUCACUACCCAAAGCCCUCCUGAUUAUCUCCCCUCAGCUUGUCAAGGUGACAUUCAGCGAUCUUGACAUUGGCAACAGUAAGAUGGAACUAAUCGUGCAAGCUUUCAGAUCACCUCACAACCUCAAACAUCUGAAGAUUAUCAGAUUCAUACAAUGCGGGUCAGAUGAGGGCGUGGAUGAUGUCAUAAUGGCUUGCAGUAAAGAUCAGGCCAUGGAGGUGGAGGUGGAGCAUGGCUAACCGCGUGGUGAUCGUUUUAUUAAGUAAUCAAAGAGAUGGCACCACACUCGAUCUGACGAAUCAGACGGAGCAAACAAUCUUUGCACGCAAACAGGAAAAAUGAGCUGAAAUGGAAAGUGCCUCAAACACAUCAUCAACCUUUUUCUUUGGCAAUUGUCAUGCAAUCGAUUUAUUCAUCCUCUGAAUCCCGUUGACAUUCAUAUGAUUUAGACGGAUGUGUAAUAUAUGCUCUACAUCGGUAUUGCAGCUCUUGUGAUUGUGAUUUUAAAUUCCCUUCAAAAUGUUACUCUCAGUGUUCUUGCAUUUAAUAUGAUUUACACGCUGAAAAUCUCAAACCUUGUAAAAGGGCCGAAAUGUUGUAAAAUAUCAUGAUUGAAAUUGUAUUAAAAGUAUGAUGGAAAAAUAUUCAUUAUUAGAAAAAUAAAUAAGUAAUAAUUCUUUUCGAAUUUGAAUUGUGCAACAAGCUGUGCUUUACUCACCACAUUUGCUAUGUAGAGAAUGUAUACGAUGCAGAAUUAGCCCAAAGUAUGCUUGCGUCAGCGACUGACGGAGGCAUUGACGCACCAUAAGAGAGUAAUAUCGCACCGUAAAGUUAAUGCAAAUCAAACAGUGCAAACCUCUCUUCGAAUUAAGGGUGUUAUAGUCCUAACUGAAUCACCUAGCUCGGUUAAAGCAAGGAAAUGAAACGCAACCUUGUGUGCAACAGGCAUUGAAAAAAUGAUGUCUGUGCCAUUAGAAUCAAUUGUAUUUCAUGAUUUUUUUUUAUUACGUUUUAUGUAAAAACAGUUAGGUCUCCUCAGAACCAAAAAGGAUGCUAUAAAUAAGAGACUAUGAACACGGCAAACAUGAGCAAACGAAAUUAGUUUGUAGAAAUAUAAUGAAAUGUUUAAAUACAGAAUAUAACAGUAAUGAAAAAUAAAAAAAUAAGAUGAAUAUAUAAAAAGAACAAAAAGUAUAGCACAAACUCACCAUAUAAACGAACCAACAAAAAGUCAAAACAAACAUGAUGAUCGUUACUUUUUACCCUUUUCUGAGCCAAGUAAUCAUAAUCUAUUAGUACCCCAUCUCUCUAACACACAAUAUCGGACAAGGUCAUGAAAUUUGGUAACUUGCCGGCCUAUUGUCUUUUUGCAUGAUUAUUUAAACACAAAAUAUAGAUCGGUUUUCUCCAAAUCGAAUGUAAACUUAGAAACUAUUUUAUCAUUAAUAUGUUUAUAUUGACGAUAAUUUCAGCACCAGGCCUAAUGUGAUUUCCUACAAGUGAAAUGGUUUUACGGUAAACACUUUGAAGUUGUAUCCACAGGUGGGAGAUGAAGGAAAUGUAUAGUCGUGUAUCACCCUUCCGAAAAGGCCAAAUGAAAACCACUUUUAAUUCACAAACAAAAUACUGUAUAUAUUUUAAUUUGAUUUUAUUAGUAAAUCGCAAUCAUAUACAUGAAAAUUUUGUUUCACAAUACAUAUAUAAAACAAAUAUAUAAACAACAAAAUCAAACAGUGGUAUAGUUUCUCGAGUAAUCGCAAAUUAACUAUAAACAUUGUAGCUUGUAUAUACAGUGGUAAAUAAUAUCAUUUUAUCCUAUAUAUGUUGUGUAUGAACUGUUGCAUGUAUCCCAUAGAAGGUUUGUUAUGAUUUAUGAUUUUUAUUUUGAAAAGGAAAACAAUCUUGUCUGAUAUAUUUUAGUUGGUAAUUUUGUCUGUUGAUAAUUUGUAAAUAACGUAGCCAAAUGAUAUGUGCCCCUACGAAGGAGUAUCUUUGCAAAGCAAAUUAUAAAUAACUGACUAACUAUAAAUUAUGGCUGUAUAAAUGCAUACUAAUUCUAAAUAUCCAAUCAGCUGUUUUCUACAAGUUCAACUAGUGAUUGUACACUAUUACAUGCAAUGCAAGAACAUUAUUAAGAGUAAAUCAUGUGGCAUUCAGUUUAAUAUAUUUGAUAUAUUUCUGUAUUUAUGUAACUAAUUGUUUAUUGUAUAGCGCACUGAGACAUUACCGCAUUUUGCGAAAAUAUUUCAACGCACAAUUUAUCACUAGUAAUAGUAAUAGUAGUAGUAGUAGUAGUUGAUUUUGUUGUUAUUGUUGUGGUUUUGUUGAUGAUGUUGUUGUUGUGGCGGUAUUACUAUGAUUAUUUGUAUUGAUUAACAUGAUAUAUCGAUAUCAAUUAUUCCAUUUGGUAUUAGCGAAAUAUUGUUGAAACGCCAAAUAUUGUUUACUGAAACUUGAGUAUUUUGUAUACAUUGAUUAGAUUAUAAAGAAUGGCGUACGUCGUUACUUUACAAUGUAGGUCUAUUUUGUUGCACGCAUGACCAACUAACUAUAUAUAUUAGAAACCAUUAUCUUGAAUUUAAACGUGAUGAAUUAUAUAAUGAUGGUUUAUAUUAUUAUUGUAUUGUAACAUUAAGUGAAAAGAAUGUUGCCAUGUCAAUUUGAACGUAAAUAAUAUAAUGUGCCUUAAAUUUGUCUACUUUAUAUAUCUAUCUUUUCGUUUAUUGCGUAUGUUCCAAUGUAUAUGUAGUUUGGUGUAUUUUAAUGAGAAUGGCUAUAUUUGUUGUUGUAAUUAGUUUUCGGAAAACAAUUAUUCUGCAUUACCAUGUACAGCGCAAAGGGAUUUGACCGGCAAUAUAAUGUGCUGUAUAAAUGUAUCCUUAUUGUUAUGUUGAUUAAUGAAACCUCUACUGAUCCGAGAAUUAUAUUAUUUUGAACUUUGUAUUAGGCAGACGUUCGUCCACAUUAUUGAAAUAAAAUUAAUUCUGUUUAAAAACUGUUUAAUUCAAUAAAUGUUACUCCAGUCUCUAAUUCAGAUAUAUAGGCCUAUAACCCCCUUCUCUAUAUAUAGCUAUCUCUCUUUCUCUCUCCUCAUUGUCGAGUUUUAACAAUCAGUUGGAUCAGCGCAAUUAACGUUCUUUUUUUUUAAUUUACGGAAUUUCCUUGCUUCUUUUUCCAUCAUCAUCAUAAAGGUGUCGUAGUCGAGUGGUUUCAUCACUUGACCGGAAAUGUAAACAUCUUGUGUUCGAUGCCCUGUACGACACUCAUAUCAAGGAGCAAGGCAUUUAAUCUACAUUACUCCUCCCCACCCAGGUGUUUUAAAAUAGGUACCCGGUGAGGAUGCGAUAGUCAAUGUGAUUGGAAUAGCAUACUAUGUACAUUCACGUGAACAGUCGUCGCGCCGACUCGUGUUAUAUGCUCUGUAGCUCGUGGAAUAUACCCCUGUAUCCCAUUGACUGUAGGCCACUGUCUUAUUCAUUAUCCCCAUCGAUCUUAAAUCGAUUGUUGUGGUAUGCCUACACGUAAUCUCUACAAAUUUUUGUUUGCAUUCCUGAUUAUUUUAGUUUUAAAACAAUUUUGCUCACCACUCUGUUGUUUGUUGUUAGUGGAUUUCUUUUCUUUAUAAGGUAGACUAACAUGAAUGUUGUUGGAUGCGAUCAGGUAAACGACUCAAGUCUGCAAAGUGUAGAUCAUACCGCUAUCUGAAAUCCUUCAUUCCCUUUUCCAUAAGGGCGUGUAACAGCUCACAUUGAAUAACGAUAAUAAUUGUAUAAACAUUUACAAUUGCAAUAUUAAAUUGCCCAUACGUAACCAAACCAUCACGUACGUAUACCCUGUCUACCUAUAUAAUAUUUAAAUAUCACAUUUCAUGAAUGAUGCUCAACAAUAUUUACUAUGUCAGUUUCUCUUUCUUUUCCUUCUUACUUUCCCCUUUCUUUCUUAUUACAUUAUCGUUUUUUAAUUGUCUUCUGUUGCACUUUCAUUUCAAUAUACGAAUGUGUUAACUAACUUGAUAGUGGAAAUUCAUAAUCUUGUUUAAUACCUUUUAUUUCAUGAUAUUCUCUCUUUCUUUUUACAGCCGUUCCUACUUCUCUGUUCUUUACCUCGCAUCAGCUCUCUUUCCCUUUCUCUCCCUAUCCUUCUCCUUCUUCUGACUCAUUUCCUUCUCUCUCACCUCGAUCUGCUGUUCUUCUUUCUCUAUCACACCUUUCCCCUUUACUCUUUCUUACUGCUCAUGCUAUGGGUUAUUGUACCUUUUAAUGUCUAAGAUGUCAACUUCUAUGUACAUGUAUCCCUUAUGUAUUCCGAUUGCUACUGUUUUUGUUGUUUACAUAUCUAUUUUUUUUUACUUGCAAACGAAUCCCAUGUAACAUUUCCAUGUUGUUACCUUGGAAAAAUGCAAAUUGAAUCAAAUUGAAUUGAAUGGACACUGCAUAUAUAUAAAAGUAGAAAUGUGAUGUAAUUAUCAAUGUGACAAUGUUAAAAUGGAUGAAGGAUUCGAUUUCUAGCAUUCGUUUUUGCAUUCGAUUUGUAUAUAAUAAUAUUUCUUUCAUAAUAUUUACCAAGUACAUGUAUUGCUAAUGAGAUAACUGUAUGAGUGUUCUCAAGAAUUCAUUGACUCAUAUUGUAAGAUAUUAUGUUUUGAGUUUUAAUGAUACUUCUGUUUUAUGUCUCAUUUUCUAUCGAUUAUGAGUGUAUAUGAUUCUUUGUACAGUUAUCAUAUCCGAAUAUGAUACUGUGAUAGUAAUUAGUAUGUUCCCUUCAAUUGUAUGCUGGGAGGGAUCAUGAAUGCAACUACCCUAUAUUUCUUUUAAAUGCUUUCAAGUCUCAAGGGUUGCUCGCAUCUAAUCUGGGCAAUGUUUUCACAAUCAUAGUAAAGAAUAUGCGUUGUGUCAAGAUUUGGUUUUACUUAUUAUGACAUAUUUUGACAGAAUGGGCAAUUUCCAUGUAUAUGAACAGUACAAUAAAAUCUUAAUCUGAAACAA
rnacentral:lncRNA from 1 species